rnacentral:rRNA from 1 species
GUAUCGCUAACGUACCCCUAAGUCAGGGAUAGCCGGGGGAAACUCCGGGUAAUACCUGUUGACAUCACCUCCUCGCAUGAGGAGGUGCUCAAAGGAGCAAUCCGCUGAGGGAGCGGGCGAUAUCGUAUCAGCUAGUUGGUGAGGUAACGGCUCACCAAGGCGACGACGCGUAGCCGGGCUGAGAGGUCGGCCGGCCACAUUGGGACUGAGACACUGCCCAG